ACGCUCGACACCUACGGGAGGCAGCAGUGAGGAAUAUUGGUCAAUGGGCGCUAGCCUGAACCAGCCAAGUAGCGUGAAGGAUGAAGGCUCUAUGGGUCGUAAACUUCUUUUAUAUAAGAAUAAAGUGCAGUAUGUAUACUGUUUUGUAUGUAUUAUAUGAAUAAGGAUCGGCUAACUCCGUGCCAACGGCCCGCGGGUAAUCUGAGCGGGCUGGCAAGGC
rnacentral:rRNA from 1 species